CCCUUAGAUGUUCUGGGCCGCACGCGCGCUACACUGAUGCAUUCAACGAGCCUAUCCUUGACCGACAGGUCCGGGUAAUCUUUGAAUCUGCAUCGUGACGGGGAUAGAUUAUUGCAAUUAUUAAUCUUCAACGAGGAAUGCCUAGUAGGCGCAAGUCAUCAGCUUGCGUCGAUUACGUCCCUGCCCUUUGUACACACCGCCCGUCGCUCCUACCGAUUGGGUGUGCUGGUGAAAUGUUGGGAUCGGCCGUUUGUCGCGGUUUCCGCGUCAUGUGGCUGAGAAGUUCAUUAAACCCUCCCACCUAGAGGAAGGAGAAGUCGUAACA
rnacentral:rRNA from 1 species